rnacentral:lncRNA from 1 species
GGCCUCAUGAAAGUUACAAUCAUGGCGGAAGGCGAAGGGGAAGCAGGCACGUCUUAGCUGGUGGGAGGAGGGAGAGCGAGUGAGUAAAAGGGGAAAGUGCUGCACGCUUCCAAACAAGCAGAUCUUGUGAGAACUCACUAUCCGGAGAAUAGCAAGGGGAAGUCUGCCCCAGGAUCUAGUCACCCCCCAGCAGGCCCCUCCCCUGACAUGUGGCGAUUACAGUUUGGCAGGAGAUUUGGGUGGGGACACAGAUCCAAACCAUACUGUCAGAAGAGCAGCAAGCUCAGUAAAUGGGGCCAGAUCAAAAGGAGGGAGGUAGUGAACGACUCCAUUCGUGUAAAAUUCCAGCAAAUGUGAAGUCCGCGACAGGCCAGCAGCAGAUCCGUGGCUGGCGGGUGUGGGCGGAGGAGGAUGUGCUGGCUUCAGGCAAGCACGCGUCAAAUGCCUCAAACUGUGCUCCUCAAACGUGUGCAGAUUGCAUUUCUGUCCUGCGGGGGCUCAGACCCUCAAUAGUAAGCUCCAGUGGGUUAAGCAGGCUGCUUUCCAGGUGGCCCGUGACACCCCCCCAUCCCCCAGAUGUCCAGCUGCCCUCAGGCCACCUCCCUGGGCUCCCAUGGGCCUCCUCUCCCUGUGCCCCCAGGGAGCUCCAGGGCUCUGAGGAAGGCCAACCCCAGAGGUGUGGGCAUCUGCCCCAAGAUGGAGGCCCCCCCCAACUCUGUGGGCCUCCAAGUGGGAGGACUUGGCUGCAAGGAGAUGAGGGGGGCACUGAGUCAUGCAGGAGGCCAGUGUGGCUGGAAUGAGGUUCAGAUCUGGGGGAGGGGCUGAUUUUGUCCCUGAGCUGCUUUUAGCAGAAAAGCUGAGUGCUGAGGUCAGCUGAGGCUGAAGUCCUGCUUAUGUCUUCAUCUCCAGGAGCUCAUCCCCGCUCCUGCACUGUGGCCAUAGCUCCAGGCAGCCGCGCGCCGACCCCACCCACAGGCCUGGGUGGAGCUGAAGGUCUAAGCCCCAUGCCAGACCCUCAUCCAGGCAGCGACCCCUGGGCACAGGGGGCAUGGCAGGGACACCGAUUUCCUCCUCCUUCUGUCAGUUUGGACAAAGAUUCCAGGGCCACAGACCACCGUCUGGCCGCCCCAAACUGCUUUCUCCAAAAGGGCUUGCCCCAAAGCUUUGCCCACCGAGUCCUGGAGCUGCUGAGCGUCCUGCCGGGCCUCACCUUAGUCUCUCCUGUCGCCUUGUGAGGAAGUGCCUGCUUCCCCUUCCACCAUGAUUGUAAGUUUCCUGAGACCUACCCAGCCAUGGGGAACUGUGAGUCAAUUAAAUCUCUUUCCUUUAUAAAUCACCCAGUCUUGGGUAUUUCUUUUUUUUUUGAGACGGACUCUCGCUCUGUCCCCCAGGCUGGAGUGCAGUGGUGCAAUCUCAGCUCACUGCAAGCUCUGCCUCCCAGGUUCAUGCCAUUCUCCUGCCUCAGCCUCCCGAGUAGCUGGGACUACAGGCACCCGCCACCACGCCCACCAAAUUUUUUGUAUUUUUAGUAGAGAUGGGUUUCACCAUGUUAGCCAGGAUGGUCUCGAUCUCCUGACCUCGUGAUCUGCCCACCUCAGCCUCCCAAAGUGCUGGGAUUACAGGAUUGCAGGCGUGAGCCACCAUGCCCGACCUUUAUUUAUUUAUUUAUUUAUUUAUUUUUUAAGAUGUAAUCUUGACCUGUCGCUCAGGCUGGAGUCAGUGGAGCAAUCUCGGC